AUUGAACGCUGGCGGCAUGCUUUACACAUGCAAGUCGGACGGCAGCACAGAGAAGCUCGCUUCUUGGGUGGCGAGUGGCGAACGGGUGAGUAACAUAUCGGAACGUACCGAGUAAUGGGGGAUAACUAAUCGAAAGAUUAGCUAAUACCGCAUAUUCUCUGAGGAGGAAAGCAGGGGACCUUCGGGCCUUGCGUUAUUCGAGCGGCCGAUAUCUGAUUAGCUAGUUGGUGGGGUAAAGGCCUACCAAGGCGACGAUCAGUAGCGGGUCUGAGAGGAUGAUCCGCCACACUGGGACUGAGACACGGCCCAGACUCCUACGGGAGGCAGCAGUGGGGAAUUUUGGACAAUGGGCGCAAGCCUGAUCCAGCCAUGCCGCGUGUCUGAAGAAGGCCUUCGGGUUGUAAAGGACUUUUGUCAGGGAAGAAAAGGCUGUCGCUAAUAUCGACAGCUGAUGACGGUACCUGAAGAAUAAGCACCGGCUAACUACGUGCCAGCAGCCGCGGUAAUACGUAGGGUGCGAGCGUUAAUCGGAAUUACUGGGCGUAAAGCGAGCGCAGACGGUUACUUAAGCAGGAUGUGAAAUCCCCGGGCUCAACCUGGGAACUGCGUUCUGAACUGGGUGACUAGAGUGUGUCAGAGGGAGGUAGAAUUCCACGUGUAGCAGUGAAAUGCGUAGAGAUGUGGAGAAAUACCGAUGGCGAAGGCAGCCUCCUGGGAUAACACUGACGUUCAUGCUCGAAAGCGUGGGUAGCAAACAGG
rnacentral:rRNA from 1 species